UACGAAGGGGGGCUAGCGUUGCUCGGAAUCACUGGGCGUAAAGCGCACGUAGGCGGAUCUUUAAGUCAGGGGGUGAAAUCCCGGAGCUCAACUUCGGAACUGCCUCUGAUACAGCACGUCUUGAGUCCGGAAGAGGCGAGUGGAAUUCCUGGUGUAGCGGUGAAAAUGCGCAGAUAUCAGGAAGAACACCAAUGGCGAAAGCAGCUUUCUGGGACGGUACUGACGCUGAGACGCGAAAGCGUGGGGAGCGAACAGG
rnacentral:rRNA from 1 species